rnacentral:rRNA from 1 species
UUUUUAGAUCUCCCUGGAGGAGCUUGCUAUCUAAUCGAUAACCCACGAAAACCUUACCAACUUUUGAAAAAUCAACUUGUAUACCAUCGUCGUCAGUCUACCUCUCAAGAGAGUAUACACAAUAAACACCCCCUUAUAACGUCAGAUCAAGGUGCAGUUAAUAAGUUGGAGAUACGUGAGCUACAAUACUUCACCAAAAAUCACAACUGUGGAAAGUUUAUUGAAAUAAACUAAAAACAGGAUUCAGCAGUAAUAAUUAAAACACAAUAAUUAUGAAAACUAAGCUCUAAAAUGCGC